rnacentral:rRNA from 1 species
CAGUAGCCGCGGGAAUACAGAGGGUGCGAGCGUUAAUCGGAUUUACUGGGCGUAAAGCGUGCGUAGGCGGCUUUUUAAGUCGGAUGUGAAAUCCCUGAGCUUAACUUAGGAAUUGCAUUCGAUACUGGGAAGCUAGAGUAUGGGAGAGGAUGGUAGAAUUCCAGGUGUAGCGGUGAAAUGCGUAGAGAUCUGGAGGAAUACCGAUGGCGAAGGCAGCCAUCUGGCCUAAUACUGACGCUGAGGUACGAAAGCAUGGGGAGCAAACAGGAUUAGAUACCCCCGUAGUUCCUGUCUCUUAUAC